rnacentral:rRNA from 1 species
UAAAUUGAGAGUUUGAUCCUGGCUCAGGAUGAACGCUGGCGGCGUGCCUAAUACAUGCAAGUCGAACGAAACUUCUUUAUCACCGAGUGCUUGCACUCACCGAUAAAGAGUUGAGUGGCGAACGGGUGAGUAACACGUGGGCAACCUGCCCAAAAGAGGGGGAUAACACUUGGAAACAGGUGCUAAUACCGCAUAACCAUAGUUACCGCAUGGCAACUAUGUAAAAGGUGGCUAUGCUACCGCUUUUGGAUGGGCCCGCGGCGCAUUAGCUAGUUGGUGAGGUAAAGGCUUACCAAGGCAAUGAUGCGUAGCCGAACUGAGAGGUUGAUCGGCCACAUUGGGACUGAGACACGGCCCAAACUCCUACGGGAGGCAGCAGUAGGGAAUCUUCCACAAUGGGCGAAAGCCUGAUGGAGCAACGCCGCGUGGGUGAAGAAGGUCUUCGGAUCGUAAAACCCUGUUGUUAGAGAAGAAAGUGCGUGAGAGUAACUGUUCACGUUUCGACGGUAUCUAACCAGAAAGCCACGGCUAACUACGUGCCAGCAGCCGCGGUAAUACGUAGGUGGCAAGCGUUAUCCGGAUUUAUUGGGCGUAAAGGGAACGCAGGCGGUCUUUUAAGUCUGAUGUGAAAGCCUUCGGCUUAACCGGAGUAGUGCAUUGGAAACUGGGAGACUUGAGUGCAGAAGAGGAGAGUGGAACUCCAUGUGUAGCGGUGAAAUGCGUAGAUAUAUGGAAGAACACCAGUGGCGAAAGCGGCUCUCUGGUCUGUAACUGACGCUGAGGUUCGAAAGCGUGGGUAGCAAACAGGAUUAGAUACCCUGGUAGUCCACGCCGUAAACGAUGAAUGCUAAGUGUUGGAGGGUUUCCGCCCUUCAGUGCUGCAGCUAACGCAAUAAGCAUUCCGCCUGGGGAGUACGACCGCAAGGUUGAAACUCAAAGGAAUUGACGGGGGCCCGCACAAGCGGUGGAGCAUGUGGUUUAAUUCGAAGCAACGCGAAGAACCUUACCAGGUCUUGACAUCUUCUGACAAUCCUAGAGAUAGGACUUUCCCUUCGGGGACAGAAUGACAGGUGGUGCAUGGUUGUCGUCAGCUCGUGUCGUGAGAUGUUGGGUUAAGUCCCGCAACGAGCGCAACCCUUAUUGUUAGUUGCCAGCAUUAAGUUGGGCACUCUAGCAAGACUGCCGGUGACAAACCGGAGGAAGGUGGGGAUGACGUCAAAUCAUCAUGCCCCUUAUGACCUGGGCUACACACGUGCUACAAUGGACGGUACAACGAGUCGCAAGACCGCGAGGUUUAGCAAAUCUCUUAAAGCCGUUCUCAGUUCGGAUUGUAGGCUGCAACUCGCCUACAUGAAGUCGGAAUCGCUAGUAAUCGCGGAUCAGCAUGCCGCGGUGAAUACGUUCCCGGGCCUUGUACACACCGCCCGUCACACCAUGAGAGUUUGUAACACCCAAAGCCGGUGGGGUAACCUUUUGGAGCCAGCCGUCUAAGGUGGGACAGAUGAUUGGGGUGAAGUCGUAACAAGGUAGCCGUAGGAGAACCUGCGGCUGGAUCACCUCCUUU